AAACGUGAGAUCAAGUAUGAUAGAUGCGAUAUACCGCCACCACAGUGCGCAUGUCCACAAGGCUUUGGUGGCCGAUGCUGUGAAGAACUGAUUGAUCCCUGCAAUUACACCAAGUGUGGAGAUGGACAAAUUUGUAAAUCAGUGGAAGUGUUCUGCAAGAAGGCCCCAUGUCCUCUCAAAGCCAUCUGCGUUCCAGACGCCGGUAUCUGUCCAUUGUUUCCAAACACAAUCACGACAUGUGAACUCGAACCAUUUGCUUGUCGAAACGAUUCGGAUUGUUCCGAUGGUCAGUUGUGUUGCAAAAGGGGAUGCGGCCUUGAAUGCGUAAAGUCUUUACCAACAGGAACUGCCGGUUGUGCUCGCGUUGUUUGUCGAAAUGGAACGGUUUGCAGAGAGACUAGCGUGGG